rnacentral:rRNA from 1 species
UUAUUAAUAAUUUAUUUUAUUAAAGUUUUAUUAUAAAGUUUUAAAAAAAUUGUAUUAAAUAAAGAUUUUUUAAUUAAUUUUUGUACUGAAAAGGAAAAAUUGAAAUAUAUGAAAUAUAUAAAUAUUAAAUAGUUUUAUUAAGUACCUUUUGCAUUAGGGUUUUUUAAAAAAAUUAAUAAAUCUAUUAAUUUCCCGAAAUAAAUAUGAUCUAUUAAUAAAAAUAUUUUUAUGUUGAAUUAUGAAAAUAAAUUUAUAAAUAGAUAUGAAAUUUUUUUCAUAUUUUAUGAUAUCUGGUUUUAAAAAAGAGAUUAUACAUCUGAUUAUUAAUAUUUUUUUCAUUUAAAAAUUAAUUAUUAAUUUUUAUAGGGAUAAGCUUAUAAAAUUUUUUUAAAAGAAUUUGGAAGAAAAUAAAAAAGGAUUAAAAUUGUCUUUUUUUUUUAAUAAGAAAUUUUUUUAUUAAUUUAAAUAUGUUAAAAUAUUUUAAUGAUUAAUUAAAUUAAAAAUUGAUAAAAAUAUAAGAAAAUUAGUAAAAUAUAUAAUUUAUUUAAUAUUUAAAUAAAGUAUAAAUAAAUUUUAAUUAAAAUUUAGGAAUUCGGCAAAUUUUAUUUUUGACUGUUUAACAAAAACAUUUCAUUUUGAUGGUAAUAAAAUGUACAAUCUGCUCAAUGAAAUUUAAAUUGCUGUGGUAUUUUGACUAUACGAAGGUAUUGAAAUAAGGCUUUAAAUGAGUGCUAAGAGAAUGGUUAUACAAUUAUAAGCUUUCUUUUUUUUAAAAAUUUGAAUUUAAUAUUUUUGUGAAGAAGCAAUAAUGAAAAUUAGGGACAAGAAGACCCUAUGAAUUUUAAUUAAGUUAGUUUUAAAUAAAAGAAAUAAUUUAAUUUAAUUGGGGCGAUGGAAAAAGAAUUAGUAUCUUUUUAGAAAAAAAUUUGUUCCGAUAUUAUCGAUUUUAUGAAAAAAAUACUCUAGGGAUAACAGCGUAAUAAUUUUGGAUAGUUCUUAUAGAUAAAAUAGUUUGCGACCUCGAUGUUGGAUUAGGAUUCUUUUUUGGUGAAGAAAUUAAUGAAAGAAGUUUGUUCAACUUUUAAAAUCCUACAUGAUCUGAGUUCAGACCGGCGAGAGCCAGGUUGGUUUCUAUCUUAAUAGAUAAUAUUAAUUUUUUUAGUACGAAAGGAAUAAAAAAUUUUAAUAAUUAGUUUUAUAAAAAAAAAAUUAA